rfam:Felis catus isolate Cinnamon breed Abyssinian chromosome E1, whole genome shotgun sequence.
GCCUGGGUGGCUCAGUCGGUUGAGCGUCCGACUUCGGCUCAGGUCAUGAUCUCACGGUCCGUGAGUUCGAGCCCCGCGUCAGGCU